rnacentral:lncRNA from 1 species
AAGAUGCGAGGACUUGAAAUCUAGUCCAGUCCGAAUUGGAAGAUUUGAAAUAUUACUUCAAAUUUCAGCUCCAGUUACAGAUCAAGUUCCAACUGAUGUUCCAGGCAAUGACGAUGGUUCAAAAAACUAUCUUGUUGGAAUGACAGUAGCAAUAUUGGUGAUCAUUUUAGUUGUUAUUAUCGCUUUAUAUUUUAUCUGUCAAAAUCGUCGACGCAAAUCAUCAAGUACCGAAGCAAAUGUGGAGAAGACAAAUGAUGUAAGUGAUCCACAAUAUAUUUAUGAUGAUGUCGGCAAUUAUGAACAAGUAGACGAUGAACUCAUGAACAGUCGACGUAUACAGCUCUCAAUAAGCCUGGUGAAGUAAUUGAUGA